rnacentral:rRNA from 1 species
AGUGAACGCUGGCGGUAGGCCUAACACAUGCAAGUCGAACGGCAGCACAGUAAGAGCUUGCUCUUACGGGUGGCGAGUGGCGGACGGGUGAGGAAUACAUCGGAAUCUACUUUUUCGUGGGGAUAACGUAGGGAAACUUACGCUAAUACCGCAUACGACCUACGGGUGAAAGCAGGGGAUCUUCGGACCUUGCGCGAUUGAAUGAGCCGAUGUCGGAUUAGCUAGUUGGCGGGGUAAAGGCCCACCAAGGCGACGAUCCGUAGCUGGUCUGAGAGGAUGAUCGGCCACAUUGGAGCUGAGACACGGUCCAGACUCCUACGGGAGGCAGCAGUCGGGAAUAUUGGACAAUGGGCGCAAGCCUGAUCCAGCCAUACCGCGUGGGUGGAGAAGGCCUUCGGGUUGUAAAGCCCUUUUGUUGGGAAAGAAAAGCAGCAGGUUAAUACCCCGCUGUUCUGACGGUACCCAAAGAAUAAGCACCGGCUAACUUCGUG